rnacentral:tRNA from 1 species
GCGGAAGUGGCGUAACGGCAGCCGCGCUGGGUUUAGGUCCCAGUGCUCGUAAGAGCGUGCGGGUUCGAAUCCCGCCUUCCGCACC